rnacentral:lncRNA from 1 species
ACCGGUAGCAACUUGUACUAGAAAACAAGUAAGUGUAAUUCCCCCUAAACAAUAAAAUAUGUUGACAUGAGGAGGAACAUAUUUACUAGUUAUAUCAUCUGCAAUUGCCUGAAUCUCAAGACGUUCCUCAAACCAAUCAUAUACUUUAUUGAGAUAGGUAACUAACCCGAACCCCCCUCCGAGAACCGUAUAUGAGAAUUUCAUCUCGUACGGCUCAAACAGAAACACACAAAUUUUCAACGGAUAUUAGAAAAAAGGUUCAAAACUUCAUCAGCCAUUGGGUUGGGUCGAUUUGCCUUGAAGAUAUGAAAUAAGAAAAAUCCAGAAUUUCUUCUUUGUGAUGAUAAUGCCAAAAAAUCUCAAGUUGGCUCGUCUAUCUUUCUUUCCCAAAUGUUGAUCAUUAGAGGCCUCUUGAUUUUUCUCUUCCCUAUUUUGGAUUUCUUUUUUUUGUGCGUAAUGCAGAUUUACUCUUGUUUUACUAGAUAAAUAAAUAAAGCAAAAAUUGGAGUAGUUUUCUGGUAGAAAUUAUCUUGUUGCGAUCCUAUGAAUCAGUUCAAUUAAAACCUUAGAUUUAUACUAGAGCCACGAUGAUUGAGUCUCAAGCUAAACAAAAGGCAAGGGUUCUUCGAAUAAGAACCGCUUGAUGAUCAUUUAUUGAAUCGGUGUAAUGACUCGACAAAAUCGAGAGAAAAAAAGUUGUUUUUUGGGCAAACAAAAUUGGAAGGAAGAAAUUUUCUUUUUUUAUUUUUAUUAAGAACUACUUGAAUUUUUUUCAGUCUGGUUGCGAGGUCUGAAUAGUUAAUAUGAAUCAUAGUUUCAUUUUUUUUCUUGAUCCACUCUAUCUAUUUCGUGUUCCAGAUACUAGAAUAAAUAAUAUCCGACGAAUUAGAAUCAUCUUGAUAGAGAUAACAGGUGCUUUCUAUGUAUUAUCAAUAGGAGCAAAUUCUAACAAGUCACACACUCAUAUUCCAGAGAUACCGAAACCAAAAAAUUCCACGGUCGAACUACCAGAAUGUCUAGAAAUGUAGAGCUUAAAGUAGAAAGGCUCUUUUGGAUGGAAAAACUAUGACUUCGUAGUUUUCGUUAGUAGAAACCUAAUUCAUUAAAA